rnacentral:lncRNA from 1 species
AACCUAUCUUCAUUCUCUUCAUUAUUAUCAUGCCUCCCUCUCUUGUUGUCGGGUGGAAUCAUUUUCUCAUGCGCUAAACUAGACAUUACAACUCAGAUAACUACCGGUACCUGCACAAGCAUAAACGGAAAAAACAAUGUGGAAUCAUUUUCUGCAAUAUUAUACAACGGAUCACGAAUUUGAGUUACAAAGAGAAUCAAAUCUACGGCGAGCUUUCAAAUCUCAUCAAAGUCAUACUAGAUUGCAAUUGGGAAAAUGGAUAGGAACGGUGGAAAGAGGUGCUAGAUUGCAUACCUUGAAAUUGACGAUUUACACAUCCAAGCAAACACUUCGCUCUAUUUCGUACGGGAUAGAAACGGUGAAGUGAGGUCUACAGACUGGUUCAUAGAACCAGUUUUCUAGGGUUCCAACAAAAUGCAUUAGUUUAGACACUAAACUAUUUGACCAACAAAAAAGAAGAAUUACCAACAUUUGAUUGGUCCAUUUGCUGCCACAUCAUAUCAAAAUAUGUCAUGUAUGCAUAAUUUUAAGUAUUUGAGUCCAAUUUCAGAAAUUGAAAAAAAUGAGAGGCCAAAAUUGGGAAAUUUAAAAUGUGGGGACCAAAAUUCAGAAAUCGACAAAUAAGGGGAUCAAAACUGCAAUUAAACCAUUUGGUUCCGUUUUCUUUGGUGAAUCAAACCAUGACCACUAAUUUGACAAGCAAUUCUUAUAAA